AGAAGCCCUUCUCCCCACCCUCCAAUUCCAUGAAGCCAAGAAAAACAUCAGCAGGAGGGAGGGAGGAAGCGAAUCCAGGGUCCAGGACGUGGGAGAGGGGCUGCGGGAUAAAGGGAUGACACAGCGCUCCGUUACCCACCUCCCUGUUUAAGACCAAUACAAGAAGGCUUAAGAUGAAGAGGCAGCGGAGUGAGUCCCACAUGUCACAUGCCUGAACUCUUCUGCUCCUUGAAACCAGCUGCUUGAUGGCCAGCCGCUAAGGAACGUGGAGCAUUAGAAACUUACCUGCCCACCUGGUUGAUGGCUCCUCUGGGCACUAGAACCAAAGAAAGUGGGAAGUAUAAUUAUUGUAUUCUUCAAUACUUUUCUUUGAAAGGAAUCUGUGAUUUAACUGUAAAUGAAUGAGAAUGACCUUUUACAUAUUUGAUUUGCCAAAAGUUAUAUAUCCCAGGGGGUAUGCAGUAUAUUGGACCCUAUCGCGGUAGCCAGCUUGAGGGCAUGCUUAUUCUAAGUCUUCGCUGCGAUGUGCCUCUUCUGUAAUCUUUGCUUAGAAGCCGUGCACAAAGCCCAUGCAUUGAUCAGAGAAGAAACAAAUUAAGAUUAAGCUUGUCAGUUACUGUAAAUGGGCUAAAAACCAUAAUUUAAAAAUACGACUGGAUGACAAAACAAAACUCAACCAUAAGCUGAGAAAUGAGACAUUUUUAAAACAAAAUGACUCCUAGAAAUUGAAAAUAAAAGGAGGGGGAAAAGGCAAAUCCUUGUUUUUGUGUCAAAAUUAAAGCGGGGAGUGGGGGGGAGGAAGAAAUGAAACAGAGAAGGAUCCUUUAUAAUUUUAAAGAAUGCCACAUUUAAAAUCUAACAUAUAUGUCUUGUGAUUCACGGGGCUAUGAUUUUAUUUUUGCUAUUUUUAUUUUUUUAUCCAAUAGUUUGGUGGAAAAAAAUUAGAAUCUGUUGAGAGACUUAAAAAAAAUCAGGUGAUUUCAAACUUAAAAAUCUUUGAAUUUUCAGUUUCUCUUGUAAAAUCUGAAAGUCUGAAUUUUUAGGUAGCAUCAAUUAUCUAGGCAGUCUGGUAAUCUAUACCCUGUGGGUCAAAUCUGGCCCACCACCCAAAAGAAAGCCACACCAAAGAAAUCUCUGUCAACACAUCUCAUAAUCAAAAUCGAUAAAUUAAAUGACAAAGAAAAAAAAAAACUCUUCAAAGCAGAGUUAAUUUCUUACUAGAAACCAUGGGGGGCGGGGUGGGCAGAAGGAAGUGGCAUAAUUAUUUUUAAAGUGCUGGAAGAAAAACACUUCAACCCACAAUUCUAUGUCCAGUAAACAUAUCCUUUAGGAAUGAAAGAAAAAGCAAGAUGCUCUCGCAAUAAAGAAAAUUAAGAGAAUUUGUUACCAGUAGACCAACCAUAAAGAGACUGGCAGAAUGAUGCUAUUGAUUUAAAAAAUGAUCUAAAAAAAGGUAAAAAUAAAUGAAAAAAAAAAUCUGGCUCUUUGGAAAGAUCAAUGAAAUUGGCAAGCCUUGAUUAAGAUUUACAGAGCAAAUAAGUUAGACUUAAAAAACACCCAUUACCAACACCAGGAAUGAAACAGACAGGAUCACCAAGGCCUCUACAUGCAUUGAAAGGAUAAUAAAAGGAUACCACAAACAACCUGCUCCCAUAAAGUUGACAAUUUAGGUGAAAUGAGCCGAUGCCGCAACACAAACUACUGUAAAAUGUGAAAUAGAUAACUUUAAUAGUCUGUAACUAUGAAAGAAAUUGCAUUUGUAAUUUAAAAUCUCCAUAAAAUCUCUAAGCCCCGAUGGCUUUGCUAGCAUUCCUACCAAAUGUCUGAGGAGGAAUUAACACCAAUUCCGUAUAAUCUUUUCUAGAAAAAUAGAAAAGGCAGCACUCCCCACGUCAAUUUGUGAGGCUGAUAUUACUCUAAUGCCCUAGAGAAAGACGGUACAGAAAAUAAAACAAUCAGCCAACGUCUCAUGGGUAUAGACACCUCUUGGUUUUGUAAUUAAACUUUUAUUGGAACACAGCCAUACCCACUUGUGUACUUAUCAUGUACAACUGCGUUCACGGUCAGUGGAGAGUUGAGUGGUUGCACAUGGCCCACAAAGCCUAAUAUACUUAUUACCUGACCCCUUAUGGAAAACAUUGGCUGAUUAGGUCCAGGGCUGGGGAGCAGUUGACCCCAGCACACAGGCCAUGAAGUGUCUAGCUGGAAGGGCUCCUCCGUUUCUUAUCACCCGACGCCUGGCCACUAAUACUCAUUUGUACUUUUUUCUACUUAGCCCUUGCACAUAUUUAUAAAUCUGUUUUAUAGCCACACUUUUUUUCUUUUCUUUUUCAGCCACACACACAACAACGCAAUCCUAGUUGAUUUUACAUUUUUUUAAUAUUUUGGCUAUGAUUGGUUGUUGCUAACUGACUCAUUUUCAAAUAUUUGAUGCUCCUUUAAAAAUAAAGAUUCUGCUCCCAGCAUGGAUGGAAUGGCUUGUAGCAGAUUAACAGUCCUGCUAAAGACAACUAGGACAGAUGGAUAAAAUGCCACGAAUGUUUCUGUGAAGGCUUCAGAAGGCAGUGGGUCAAGAUUCUGGUUAAGAGGAAAAGUGCCUUGAGUUCCACAGCACUGCUUCCUGCCGUAGGAUAAUGUUUUCUCUUUAGGAAUCACAGCUGAAGAAGCAUUUGAGUCACAUAUGCUUCCUGGGGCUACGGUUUGAGGACUCUUAAGCUAAGAAGAUAACUGCAAGUUAUCACAAGUGGCUAAGGGUUUUGCAAAGCAGGUAUCUACUCCAGAUUGCUGGCUUCUGGGCAUUUGGGAACUCAUUCAAGGAUGGUAUUCCCUUUUCUUUCACCUCUACCUUCUUAGCUCUACCACUUAGGUCAGUAAUGGCCAGCGUAAUUGGGUAGCAGACUAGAGACAAAAUCUACCCUUGUCUUAUCCUCUGAUGGUUCGUUCAUCAGUGGGGCGCUACACUCCUAAGAGGUUUCAGUCAUAGCGUCUAACCUGGUGGUGACUAUGGUGAUUGCACGAGACUCACACAGUGGGGUGUUGGUGCAGGUUGAGCAGAUGGACCUAGUCAGCACAGGAGACCAGAAAGGGGACAGGUCGCAGGUCAGGCACAAGGGAGACGUUUCCUUGCUCCAGAGGGUCAUUCAAUGAGAUAGGAUUCCUUCGGCUUCAUGGUCUGUGUGGAAGAAGGAGUUCUAAACCUUCCUCACCUGAGGAAGAAGAAAAGCCGCUGUUUCCAUGGGGCUCUGGACUGUGUUAAUGUUAAACAAUCCCACACGUCAGCCGCUAUUAUGCAGCCCCGGAUGCUCACCUAGGUCUCUGUGCGUGGGGCUCCUGCACUUACAUUUAUUUUAUUUUUUUAUCUGAACAUCCUAACUCAGAUCUAAGAGUGCUGUGCCCUUACAACACCCUCAACAUUAAAUACACAGUAAGUGUGUUGACUGCGGUCGCUUAUUACAAUAACAUCCUUUUACUUUGAUGGCCAGGAAAUAGGUAUGGAGAAGGAAUAACGGCUUCGGAAAUGGCCUUCGGCUGAUGUUACCUCUGCAUGAAGGUAAAGGAGAAGUGCUCAUCUCCGGCAGCCCUCGCGAGGCAUGAAUCAGGCAGAGACUUAUCUGACCUUCGUUCCCAUCACUUAAUAAACACUUAUUGAGCCCCCACUGUGAACUGGGGUCUGCGGGGAAUGCAGAGAGAAAUACAAUAUGACCCCAGCCUUCACGGAACACUCAGCAUGGCUAGGAAAAUAGACAUGUAAACAAAUGUUAACGUGCUGUCUAAUAAAGGUUUG